rnacentral:rRNA from 1 species
GAGUAACGGCGAGUGAAGCGGCAACAGCUCAAAUUUGAAAUCUGGCCUCUUUGGGGUCCGAGUUGUAAUUUGUAGAGGAUGUUUCGGGUACCGCCUCGGUUUAAAUUUCUUGGAACAGAAUGUCAAAGAGGGUGAGAAUCCCGUCUUGGACCGGCGGUAGGGCCCAUGUGAAACUCCUUCGACGAGUCGAGUUGUUUGGGAAUGCAGCUCAAAAUGGGUGGUAAAUUUCAUCUAAAGCUAAAUAUUGGCCAGAGACCGAUAGCGCACAAGUAGAGUGAUCGAAAGAUGAAAAGCACUUUGAAAAGAGAGUUAAACAGUAUGUGAAAUUGUUGAAAGGGAAGCGCUUACAACCAGACUUGCGCGCGGCGGUUCCCCCUUCCUUUUGGUUGGGCUACUCCGUCGUGUCCAGGCCAACAUCGGUUCUGGGGGUCGGUUAAAGACCCUGGGAAUGUAUCUACCCUUCGGGCGUAGACUUAUAGCUCAGGGUGUCAUGCGACCUCCCGGGACCGAGGAACGCGCUUCGGCUCGGAUGUUGGCGUAAUGG